UUAGGCUCUUGAGGUCUGCAGAUAAUUGAGACUCCAAGAGGGCUCAUUUCAUUGGCUUUGCAUGAAUGAAUCUGGGGAUUCAGGACCUAAGUCUCUGGCUACCUUCCUUGCUUCUCUCCCUCCUGAGUCACCUGGGAUUUGCCUAACAAGUGAUUGUAGAACUUUUAAUUGGGAAAGCAUGGACAGAGCCACUUUUCCUGUCCCUGUUAUAACAAAAGGCACUAUGGAUUGUAGCAGAAACAGACAAACUGAAGAAUGUGCAACGAAAAUCUAAGAAAGGAAAAUUUCUCUC